rnacentral:rRNA from 1 species
UACGUAGGGUGCGAGCGUUAAUCGGAAUUACUGGGCGUAAAGCGUGCGCAGGCGGUAAGUUAAGUCUGAUGUGAAAGCCCCGGGCUCAACCUGGGAAUGGCAUUGGAAACUGGCUUGCUGGAGUGUGGCAGAGGGGGGUGGAAUUCCGCGUGUAGCAGUGAAAUGCGUAGAGAUGCGGAGGAACACCGAUGGCGAAGGCAGCCCCCUGGGCCAACACGUGACGCUCGAGGCACGAAAGCGUGGGGAGCAAACAGG